UAAAAAUUCUCCUGGCCAAAGAUGAACGGCAUCCAUGAACAGAAAUCCAAUGAGGAUUCCAUGCAUAAGAGGAGCUAAUAUUCUUAAUAAUCUACUUCUUGGCGGUUUUUGUGGCCACACAAAAAUUAAUCGAGAUCCAUCUAUCACAAAAAGAAAAAAAUGUUUGAAUUUUUAUAUAAUUUAUACAAUUAUGUAACUCGUGUAUUUAGUUUUAUAUAACUUUGUGUACUAGUGGAUUUAGAAAAUAAUAGAUAUGUGUGGUAGAAUAUGCAUGGAGUUCAGAAGCUCUACUUGUGUUGCGACGGAUAAUAGAUGAUUUAACAUGAUGGGGACUGACGCCGGGAGGAGCGCUAAAUAUUCCAUUUCCGCUAUCUACAUAUUGUCAUUCAAUUUUGGCCUUGAACGAAAAAUUUUAUUUUAGACAGAAACUACGCCUUAAGAAUCAUGACGUCCCGAUGUAAAUGUCCGAAAUCAGACACGAAGGCGAACGAACAUUCCUCACCCUAUUUAGAAGAUAUCACAAUGAAGAUAAAGGAGCGACGUUGCGAUCUUCUUGGUAGACAGAAAUAUUUAAAAGAAAAAAUUACGACGAUGGAACGAUCGAUUCCUGCGUUAAUAGCGUACAAUAUGUGGAUGUCGAAAAAUUGCGACGACGCACCGUACUGUAAAAUUCGCAAGAUUAUGAAGAUGUUCGCUCCUUAUCCGGACCAAACUGAAAAACUUCUCGAAAGUCUGAAGAAUGCUGUGAAGGAUCUGAAUAAUGAGACCGAGGAGUUGCAUGAGAAGAUCAUUCAAGCGGAUGUUAAAUUGGAAGAGACAGAAAUGGAAUUAGAAUCUUUGGAACUUAUAAAUAAGGAGAUGAACAACAAGUUGAAGGAUUUGGAGAAAGAAGUACGGUGUCACACUAGUCCGAGUCUUCACUCGAUACAUUCCGAGGAUUUACUUUGCUUGACGAAGAUUCGUCAACUAGCUGAGGAAGAAUUAAACUUGAAGAAUUGUAUUAAACAAUUGGAAAAGAAGGAAACGCUUUUCAAGGAACAUAUGGAUAGAUUAUUAACGUCUAAGGAGUAUCAAAAUGUUUGCACUCGAAAGAAAGUCGUUAGCUGCAUUCCAGAUUUAAAUGAUAGCGGGAAAAAAAUAUGUUACGUGCCUAAAAAAUGUUUAUUGCAUAAACAAAAUGAAUCAAAGAAAAAACAGGAAAAGGAAAAAGCUGUCAUCCCACAGGUUGACGCAAUAAUUUCUACAUCGAAGCAAAAUAUUGAAAAAUGGGAUCAAGGAACUGAGCCUGAACAACCUAAGGGAGAGAUCGGAAAAAUGUCUUCCUGGAUAUCGAAUUGGUGGUCAAAUAACGAAAAAUUGGAAGUUGUACCUCAAAUGAGAAGCGCAGAUACUCACACAUCGUUUGUUGCGAAUAAUGUACUAACUGAAAAAUUAACUACUGCUACAGUUAAACCUAGAACUCAGUCGCCCACUACCCAAAAAAAAUCGAACGGUGAGAAAAUAAGCGAUGAUGAGCCAAUCAAAUUGUCAAAGCCCAACUCGAAGUCAGCGCAGUGUCAUCGCCCUUGUUUUACUCCUCAGGAUCUUGAAUAUGUUUUGAAAAAAACUUGUGUAGGAAAACAUAUUCCUCCUUGCAAAAUCCCGUGUAACAAAUCUAUCAGAAGUUAUGCUACAUCUUCAAGGAAACCUUUCUACGAGCUACCACGUUAUACAAUGGCAGAUCAUGGUAUUCGAACAGGGUGCAAACCAUACGUGCCACCUUGUGAUCUCAGAAAUCCCUGCGAUAUUAGAGAUCCCUGUGAAAUUUGUCCAUCGACGCCCUGUCCACGUCUAGUUGGAAGCUGCAGGUGUAAUUGCAGGGGCAAAUGUGCCCGUGGGUUAUCCAACGCAACCUGUAACUGUAGCGAUGAUCCACUAGGUCCUUCCGGGGAAUAUCAACCAAUUGGUUCAAAGCAGUUGGCUGAAGAGGACAGUGAGGAUGAGUUUUGCGAAUGUUGCUCAUGCGGUUGUGAAGACAGUGAUGAAUCAUUGUGCCAGUGCACCUAACCGUGCUAAUAUUUUGUUGCAUUUGAGGUAUUCACGCAAUUCACGCAAUUCACGUAAACAAACGUUACAAAUUUUAUAGCUAAAAAUACAUAGAUAUACAUACAAAGAAGAAUUUUAUCUUGUGGACCCCUAAAAGUGUACUGUCCUGUUCUACAAGAUUUUUCUGCGCAUGCGUUUGGCAGUCUCUGAUGUGUGCGCGACCUUGCAUAAUAAAUCUUAUGUGUUAUAUAGAGAAAUUUUUCUAUGUAUUUGUAAUUUGAAGCGUAGUGUUGCGACUCCGGUAAAUUCGUUACGAGAAACGGGCCCUAUGGAAAAUUACAGAGUCCGUUACGAGCAGCAAGGGACAAUUCACAAUCCUUUGAUCACUAAGGAUGAAUGAAUGAGUUACUCUUAUAACAGAAAUGGAUCGUUCUCGAAUGUUAAAUAAAAUUUAAAAUGUCAUUGCACUUGUCGGUCGGUAUUUCAGAACUUGAGACGAAAAGUCCCAGUUAAUGUCACGUCCAUUCCAUACUUCGUCAGUAUUUUUAUGCGUAGAAGAAGAAAGUAGGUGACAGGAGUGACGAGUACAGUUGAAGGUGUUACUGGUGUAGGUGGGGAUGAUGUUGGCGGCAGUAGUGGAGGAAGUUCAGUUUCGUUUUCAGUCUCAUCCAGGCUGGAAUUGCGGUGAUGAACGCGACUAAAAUACACUAGAAAUCCGGUGUUCAACUUGACGAAGUUCAAGAAUCAAUACAGUGCGUGAAUACUCUGAAGGGGUUGCACGGUGGUGUGUGGCAAUAAAUUAGCUGAAAAG